rnacentral:lncRNA from 1 species
CCGGAGAGAAUUGAUCCUCCAGAUCCAACAAAACCUGAUUAUGAUAUUCGGGCUGAUGUGUGGAGUCUUGGCAUUCUAUGGUUGAGCUUGCCACUGGCCAGUUUCCUUAUCAGGAUUGUAAAACUGACUUUGAAGUUCUAAGCAGAGUCCUUCAGGAUGAGCCCCUUCUUUGCCUGAUGAUGGCACUUUUUCAUCGGAGUUCUGCUCCUUUGUCAGGCAAUGCCUCACAAAAGACUACAACAAGAGGCCAAAGUACAAGAAACUUCUGGAACAUCCCUUCAUAAAGCGGUAUGAAACGAA